CGAACGCCCUAGGGGAGUGCAAACUGAGAGUUCCGCCGGCCGGCAGGCCGCUGGAAGACCCUUGGAACCUGAUCCGGCUCACACCGGCGUAGGGAAGCGGCGUCACAGCAGA
rnacentral:ncRNA from 2 species